AACGAACGCUGGCGGCGUGGAUAAGACAUGCAAGUCGAACGGGAUUUUUUUUCUGUAGCAAUACAGGAAAAAGUCUAGUGGCGAACGGGUGCGUAACACGUGAGCAACCUGCCGUGAAGUGGGGGAUAGCUCGCCGAAAGGCGAAUUAAUACCGCAUGUGGCCAAGGAAGACAUCUUCCUGACGCCAAAGCCGGGGCAACCUGGCGCUUCUCGAGGGGCUCGCGGCCUAUCAGCUUGUUGGUGAGGUAACGGCUCACCAAGGCUAUGACGGGUAGCUGGUCUGAGAGGACGACCAGCCACACUGGAACUGAGACACGGUCCAGACACCUACGGGUGGCAGCAGUCGAGAAUUUUUCACAAUGGGGGAAACCCUGAUGGAGCGACGCCGCGUGGAGGAUGAAGGUUUUCGGAUUGUAAACUCCUGUCAUUAGAGAACAAGGCACACGGUUUAACUGGCCGUGUGUUGAUAGUAUCUGAAGAGGAAGAGACGGCUAACUCUGUGCCAGCCGCCGCAGUAA
rnacentral:rRNA from 1 species